rnacentral:lncRNA from 1 species
AUGGCCUUGUGAGCCUCCCCCCUGCCUGUGCCCAGCCUGUGACCCACAGCACCAGCAGCAGGACGUGCUCACAGGACAGGGACAAGAGGAGCACCCCCAACCUUCACAUCUGGACCUGCACAUCUGUACAGUGAGGGCUGGAAAAGGACUCUGUGGAGGAGUGACAGGAGUGGCAGGGGACACUGAGAACAGCACAGGAAAACACACUGGAAAAAAAAAUCUUUGGGAAUCAGAUCUCCAGACAUGGGUGCUGUACAAAAAUGUGUCAUGGCAUUGAUAAAGAGGCUGACUUGUCCCUGCAGCCCAGACUGCACCAACUGGUAAGUGAUAUCCCAAUGUUUUCCUGGAAUGACUUCCCACAAGGCUGUCUCCUGUAGGUGAUAGUCAUCUGCUUGCAGGCUAAUUCAUUUUCCUGUUGCUCAGCUUCAUAAAGCAGCCUUUUAUCUUGCAAUUUAUGAGCAUAAUGCAUAAGUGUUUGCAAAUGCUACUCAGUUGUCUGCAGAGGUGGGAAAAGCUCUUUGUGUACCAGCACACAGAGGUGAUCCCAGGACAAGUUUAACUCUGAGAGGAGGGGUGAGGAGAGCACAGUGAAAAAUCAUGGAAGACUCCUGUAAUCAAUUGAACACUAUGCUCAGGGGAAGUGGGCUGCUACUGGUAUGCUCAGUGUUUUAAUUCUUGUAUUUUGGAUUAUUUUUAAGGAGCUUGGGGAAUAGAAUGAUAACAAUAAGUAAUUUACAAUUAUUCUUGAUGUUACCCAAGGUCAAAAAUACAUUUAGGUAGUGGCUUUUCCCCUUAGUGACUCUGUUGGGGAACUGAAAAUCACAGAAUUAAAUAUAAAAUCUGAAUAACUUCUAAUGUGAGUUUGCAAUGGUGCAAACUUGGUGAUGUUUGGGACAGUGUCCUGUAUCAGCAGAAGAGCAAAUGCAGCUCUGACUCACUAAUGUCAGAUGGAACAUCUCCAAAUGCUCAUUCCCUCCCAUCUGGGGUUUCCUUCAUCUUGUUCAUUUCAGUUUCUACUGAGUCUAACACUUGCUAGCAAAACAAAAUAAUGCCACAUAGGGCUUCUGCUGCUUAUUUGUGCUGCACAGACUGUCCAAAGCUGAAACUUUCAAGUAAUUUUUAGUAGAAGAUGCAUGUUAUUGAUGUUCUUGAUUAAUUUAACAUCUCUUAUGGUGUCUCUUCAGUAGCUGAAGCAGCUUGUGACUUCUGUAAAACUCUAUAAAAUGGUCAUGGUCAUGACAAAACCUCUUGCUAAACCCUCUGUGGCUUCUGAAAAA